CGGGGCGUAAUAUAAUGGUAGUAUACUGGCUUCGGGAGUCAGCUGUUCCAGUUCAAAUCUGGACGCCCCGA
rnacentral:tRNA from 1 species